rnacentral:rRNA from 1 species
UACGGAGGGUGCAAGCGUUAAUCGGAAUCACUGGGCGUAAAGCGCGCGUAGGUGGCUAUUUAAGUCAGAUGUGAAAGCCCUGGGCUCAGCCUGGGAAUGGCAUUUGAUACUGGAUAGCUAGAGUAUGGUAGAGGUGAGUGGAAUUUCAGGUGUAGCGGUGAAAUGCGUAGAGACCUGAAGGAACAUCAGUGGCGAAGGCGGCUGCCUGGCCCAAUACUGACACUCAGGUGCGACAGCGUGGGGAGCAAACAGG